rnacentral:misc_RNA from 1 species
UCCGAGUUGACCCCGGCAGUCUCCUACGAGUCCCCGGCAUUAUCCGCUGGCAACAUAGGACAAGGGUUGCGCUCGUUGCGGGACUUAACCCAACAUCUCACGACACGAGCUGACGACAGCCAUGCACCACCUGUGCGAGGCCCCGAAGGGCUGCCGUAUUUCUACGACAUUCCUGUGCAUGUCAAGCCCUGGUAAGGUUCUUCGCGUCGCGUCGAAUUAAACCACAUGCUCCGCUGCUUGUGCGGGUCCCCGUCAAUUCCUUUGAGUUUUAGCCUUGCGGCCGUACUCCCCAGGCGGGGCACUUAGUGCGUUAGCUCCGCCACAGGGGGAUUUAACACCCCCCACAGCAAGUAUCCAUCGUUUACAGCUAGGACUAC